rnacentral:rRNA from 1 species
UACGUAGGGGGCGAGCGUUGUCCGGAUUCAUUGGGCGUAAAGCGCGCGUAGGCGGCUCCGCAAGUCGGCCGUGAAAUCUCCGGGCUCAACUCGGAGGGGUCGGGGGAGACUGCGGGGCUAGAGGUGGGCAGAGGGCAGUGGAAUUCCAGGUGUAGCGGUGAAAUGCGUAGAUAUCUGGAGGAAUACCGGUGGCGAAGGCGGCAUCCUGGACCAUUACUGACGCUGAGGCGCGAAAGCUAGGGGAGCAAACGGG